AAGGAAAUAGAUUGGUGGGCUUCUAGUCCAUCUCUGCCACAGCUCUGCAAUGAAUUUAAAUUGAACUUAUUGCAUGCAUUGCUUAAUGUCCUUUGUUGUUAAACUAUUUCCUAAAUGGUACAACCUGAAUAUCUUAGUGUGACAAAUUUACUCAUGAAAGGUCCCUCUAUCAUCAGGUUGGAGGAAGUCUUGACAAGGAAGUUGGCAAGACUGGAACUCUCAGAGAUGACCACAGGAUGGAGAAUGUCGGGGGUAGUACAGCGUGGUGCAAGAAGCUCCAGCUCUGGGGCCAGUUGGACAGGGUUUGAUUCCAACUCUGGCACCUGUCAGUGGAGCAGCCUCAGAACAACAUGGCUGUCCAAGCACCAGACUUCAUGGGAAAGGAGAGGAGAGCUCAGGGAGCUUCCUUUCUGACUAUUCCGUGAAGGAUUUUAUUCUCUGGAAAAAAUGAAUCCCCUUACCAAUGUAACUCAGGAGUAUUCUGUCCUUGCAAAAUUCAAGAGCCUGAUUAUUACAAAGAGAAAAGCAAAUCUUCCCAUGGGUACUCAGUAUAAAAGAUAUCAUUUUGUUCACCCUAAACCUAGGAAGCAUUUCAAUACCUUUCCUACUAUUGCAGCAGAAAGCAUUUUGUGGAAACCCGUGUACAAGCAAUUUGUGAAGGGCAUUAGCAGACUGUUUGCACUGGAAGAGUUGGGCCCUGACUGAAUUUUCCCUUUCAUACACAGCAUUAAAUAAUAUCAGAAAUGGCCAGAACAAUAGAAAUGACGUCAAUGAAGUCUCUCAUGGAAACCAAAAGUGUCUGUAGUUUAAACACUGAGUUUUGCAAUACAACGCUCUGUGAUGACGACAACAAAGAAGGAGGAAGAGGAGGUGCAUACAAAUUAAUGUGACAGUUAAUACAAGAGCCGCAAUGCAAUUAUUUCUGGAUAUCACUGGUAAUUUGAAAGUGGCUAUAUACUCCCAAGUCAUGUGUUUGACCAACAGUAUAUAAUUUGCAUUCAGUAGUGUGCUCAAUCAUUUUCAACUAAAGCUUUGUCAUUUUAAUGUUGACAUUUAAGUUCCAAUUUGAAGCUGGUAUAAGACAAGACCAAAUGUAUGGAACCAACACCUCAACUCUAGUUACCUAGUGUAUGCAAAUAUUCCGUACCCAGGGAUCAGUCCUCUUUAAGAGUGGCAUCCAAAAGGGGUCUCCUCUUGUUUGAGAUGGCAAUGUUUUCCACAGACACAAGACCACGAGACAUUCACAUGCUUCCCCCCACUUCCUUCUGCUAUCAAAAUCUACUUAUGCUCCAAGGCCCCACUCACAUCUCACUUCCUCCAUGAGGCUUUCAUCAGCUAUUCUGGAACAUGUAACCAUUCCAUGUGCUGAAUUCCCAUAGACUUUAUUGUCUACAGUAUUUUUUGUUGUUAUUUUAUGAGAACUUAUAUUCCUAUGAGCAUGUUUUCAACAUUUUUUGUCUUCUCAAAGGAAGAGGAUGAUUUAUUUCUGUUUUUUGGUGGGGGGAAGAUAUCCUUCAUUUAAUAUUUAACAGAAGCAAGACCUGGAUAAGUAGUCACUGCAAGGAUGUAAAGAGAUGUAAAUGACUAUUCAACUGCACUAUGUUUAGGACAAUGGUUUCUCUGAGUGAAUACAAGUGGGAGAAAGGUGAUAGACGAAUAGUCAAGGAGUCAAGAAGUUUGCCUCUGAAAUCACAUCAAGGGUCUGGUGCAAAAGAAGAACCUUUAAAACUACUGGCUCAGCAGCUGGAAUUGAAGGAGUCUUCUAGGCAGCAAAAGGAGAUCAUUCUAUGUCAUUACACCAAGAUCAAGAGUUUGGUGAAGUGAGGUAGGAUAACUUUCUCUCUAAACCACCAAACCAGAGUUGAAAUGGCAGAGAUGAAUAAAUACUUACUUAUGCAUCACUUAGCAGUAGCUGCUGCAUAUUGGAGAACUUUCCAUAGAUAUAUGAAGAGCUAAUGUGACAGCCUAUUCCACAUGAGCCAUGUUAACUGCACAGGGAGUUAAUGGUCAUAUCUGGAAAUAUCAACUUGCAAUAUUAGCCUAGAUGAAAGCAAUUGUCAGACCAUGGUUCUAGGGGAGCACCUGUUGAGUUAUUCCUGUUGGAGUAAAGCUACUGAAACUGAAGUUGAGGUGUUGAAUUCUGCUAGAAAAUCUCAUAUAAGGAAUUAUCACCCUAAGGAGCAAAGAAGAUAAUCCCCUGGCUUCUGAGAGCUCACAUAUCAGCCAACAGAUUAAAUAUGAGAAUUGUAUUACCUGAAUGAGGAAAGAAGGCAGAGAGCUCAGUCAAGCCUGCUUGGACUUCUGACCUACACAGAAAGGAGAUGAUGAAUGAGUAUUGCUUAAAGUCGCUGAGUUUGGGGCAAUGGACAAUCUCUAACAGAAAUGAGACACUUAAAUUAAGGAGAUGAAGUUCCUGUGGGAGGAUGUCAGUCACUACCAGCUGGCCAAGGAUAGAUUUUAAACAAACUUUGGAAAUUUGGAAAUAAUAUGAGCAAUUUACUUUGGAGAGAAAAUUUGAGACAAUGGACACCGCCAAUUGUCCCAACCAGCCAGGUUUGGAUAAUCACAGAAUACAAGAAUUCACAUAUAUGAUCUGGAGCCCAGUUGCUGAGUUGCUUUCCACAGGUAUUUUGUCAAUAAGAAAACAUUGCAAAUAUGACCAAUGAGUGGAGAAAAGAAUCACUAACACACUUAAGGGAGAGAAUACGUGGAAAUAAACCCUAUAGAAAUCCAGAACAUGAAGGCCUUUAAGUGACUUCAGGGAGGAGGGAUGACCAAGGACCGAUUUUUACUGACCAACUGUCAAUUUGUAAUACUCCUUAAAAAACAGGCAAAACCAAAGCUAUAACACAGAGUAGAAAUGAUUUGAUGAUGUAAUGCUUUUGCAUCUGAGCUUUUAAAGCUCUUAGAAAUCUUUUUAAGAAGAUUGAAGACUUCAAACAAAAGCCAGGCAGCCUCCGGAAUGGCCAAUUCUAAGUGGAAGACUAGAGUCCAGUCAUUCUCCAGGGAAAGGAACCUGAUUCCUCGGUGAGCCAGGCGCUGCUCUGCUUGGUCACUCUCAGAACAGAAGUCCAGGAGCAGCUCCAAGGCUUUCCUCAGGAUCUGGCCAUCAGGCCUCUCCCGAAUGAGUCCACCUCUCCCUCUGGAUCCCCAGAAAGAUGAUUAAAUGAGUCAUAAUUUAAGAAAGAAAAGGCUGGCAACUGGGACCUCAGCUUGAGGUCACGACUGUGUAUAAAGAAUGUGAGGAAAAGAAUCCAUCAUUCCAUUGAUUUCUUACAUCUUUCCCGUGGACUAGCAAUUUAAUGAAAAAUAGCCAAUUGUCCUGAAGGUGUUGCUCUUGGAAGGUGCCUGCAUACCAGGAAAGCCAUGAAUGCCGCAGGGACCUCAAGCAGACAAGACCCUGAAGGCAGGAGGUGCAAGAGAGCUGAGAAUCAUGCAGACUUCAGCGUUACCACGUGCUCCCCAUCCCAGGCGAGAGAAAAAUUAAAAAAAAAAAAAUUUCUUGACCUGGAGCUCCCUCUCUAGCUCUCCCUAGUGUCUUGCCAAUCCUUCCCACACUAAUUUCUUGAAAAGUCUUUCUGCUCUCUGUCCAUUCACUGCUCAGUGCACUUUACCGGAAGCUUACCAAUGACCUCCACAUUGCUAAAGCCAGUGAAGUUUUAAAAUUUCUUAUCUGACUGGACCUUUUUGUCUUACUUGGUAUUAUUCUUUCCUCCUUUUUAUGAUAAUAAUAAUAGAAUAAUAGCUAAUAUUACUGAGUAUUAAGUAUUUGCCACACAUUGUGCUAAACAUACAUUAAAACUCCACUUUUUUUCCUGAAAUGUAAAUUUGGCAUCUUCCUUGGUGAACAAACUAAGUUACAUGCUAUAUGGUGGCAAGUGAGUGAAGAGUCCUCUUGGUGUGCUGCGUACAUAGGGACCACGGAUCCUGCAGACCCUGUUGGAGAAUACAUCACUGAUCCCAAACACCAUUUGCUGGUGGUACCAAGGCUCUGAUCUUAUCGCCCUCUCUGGCUGGGUGGUUUUGGGAAGGGACUAGAGCCCCCAGAGAAAGGCCUCAGAGAAGCAGAGACUAACUCAUCAGCAAUAAUAGAUGCUGGCAUGCUGUAUGAAACACCUACAACCUGAGAUUUAUUUCAGUGACUGCCUGUCUUCCUUUUUCAUUCUGUUUCUCUCCACGAUAACUUUUGCUCUGAACUUUGUGCGACCGCACAGAGAACAGGUCAGCUAAGAACAGACUACCAGUUUAUACAUGACUUCAGUUCUAUUCUAGGAAGCAAAGGCCAUACGGAUAGUCUAGAGUAAGUGAAGAAGGCCCAAAGAAAGCAGAAAUCGAGUAGGUAUGUUGAUGUUGAAGGGCCACUGCUAGAAGGUAGCGAUUGAUGCAGCAUAAAUGCCAAACGACUGUGUUCUUUGGUCUGGCCCAGACACGCAGCCAGAGCCCUAAACCUCGGAGGCCAUGCUGCAACCACACACAGUUACCCACACGCUCCGAGGCCUCUCUGUGCCAUUAAAGGUGGUUUCUUUGUAGUUUUCCUUAGCAUGGAUAAUAACUUGCUAGUGUGUUUGUUAUAUUUUUUCCAAGCUGCCGCAUGUUUUCUCUCUCUUGACCUUUAAUGGCAUUUACUGGAAAUACCUUCAUGUCCAACUGAAGUAAAAUUUCAUCAGAUUUAUUUCUAUUUAAGGACAUUACUUAUUCAGAAUGAUAAUAUAUUCCUUCUCUAUAUUCAUGCAUUAAUGUAACCACAUUAUUUUUCUUCCUCAUUUCUUUUAAUAGCAGGGAAAUAGUGAAUUCAGGGAAAAUUACUCUGCAUAAAAUGCCAUGAGUCUUUUCCCUGGGCCUGGAGAUAUGAAUUUUGCAAGAUUCCCCUCUGAGGAGUCAACAGCCGGAGCUCAGUAAACAGGUGGGUUCAAUUGAGAGAAAUUGAAGAAAAUUUCCAAGACCACUCAGCUGAGAAAAGGUAGAAUCAGGGGCUGGCCCCGUGGCCCAGUGGUUAAGUUCGCGCGCUCAGCUGCAAGCGGCCCAGUGUUUCGUGGUUCGAAUCCUGGGCGCGGACAGGGCACUGCUCAUCAAACCACGCUGAGGCAGCAUCCCACAUGCCACAACUAGAAGGACCCACAACGAAGAACACACAACUAUAUACGGGGUCUUUGGGGAGAAAAAGGAAAAAAAAAAUAAAAUCUUAAAAAAA
ensembl:lncRNA